rnacentral:rRNA from 1 species
AUUGAACGCUGGCGGCAGGCCUAACACAUGCAAGUCGAACGAGUGGCGGACGGGUGAGUAAUGUCUGGGAAACUGCCCGAUGGAUGGGGAUAACUACUGGAAACGGUAGCUAAUACCGCAUACCAUCGGAUGUGCCCAGCUGGGAUUAGCUUGUAGGUGAGGUAACGGCUCACCUAGGCGACGGUGCCUAGCUGGUCUGGGAGGAUGACCGGUCGAAUUGGGACUGAGACACGGGCCAGGCGCCUAGGGGAGGCAGCAGGGGGGAAUAGUGCACAAUGGGGGCCGGCCUGAUGGAGCCAUGCCGCGUGUAGGGAGAAGGCCUGAGGGUUGUAAAGUACUUUCAGCGGGGAGGCGUUACACGCAGAAGAAGCAACGGCUAACUCCGUGCCAGCAGCCGCGGUAAUAC